rnacentral:rRNA from 1 species
AUGAACGCUAGCUACAGGCUUAACACAUGCAAGUCGAGGGGCAUCAGGAAGAAAGCUUGCUUUCUUUGCUGGCGACCGGCGCACGGGUGAGUAACACGUAUCCAACCUGCCCUUUACUCGGGGAUAGCCUUUCGAAAGAAAGAUUAAUACCCGAUGGCAUAAUGAUUCCGCAUGGUUUCAUUAUUAAAGGAUUCCGGUAAAGGAUGGGGAUGCGUUCCAUUAGGUUGUUGGUGAGGUAACGGCUCACCAAGCCUUCGAUGGAUAGGGGUUCUGAGAGGAAGGUCCCCCACAUUGGAACUGAGACACGGUCCAAACUCCUACGGGAGGCAGCAGUGAGGAAUAUUGGUCAAUGGGCGGUAGCCUGAACCAGCCAAGUAGCGUGAAGGAUGAAGGCUCUAUGGGUCGUAAACUUCUUUUAUAUAAGAAUAAAGUGCAGUAUGUAUACUGUUUUGUAUGUAUUAUAUGAAUAAGGAUCGGCUAACUCCGUGCCAGCAGCCGCGGUAAUACGGAGGAUCCGAGCGUUAUCCGGAUUUAUUGGGUUUAAAGGGAGCGUAGGUGGACUGGUAAGUCAGUUGUGAAAGUUUGCGGCUCAACCGUAAAAUUGCAGUUGAUACUGUCAGUCUUGAGUACAGUAGAGGUGGGCGGAAUUCGUGGUGUAGCGGUGAAAUGCUUAGAUAUCACGAAGAACUCCGAUUGCGAAGGCAGCUCACUGGACUGCAACUGACACUGAUGCUCGAAAGUGUGGGUAUCAAACAGGAUUAGAUACCCUGGUAGUCCACACAGUAAACGAUGAAUACUCGCUGUUUGCGAUAUACAGUAAGCGGCCAAGCGAAAGCAUUAAGUAUUCCACCUGGGGAGUACGCCGGCAACGGUGAAACUCAAAGGAAUUGACGGGGGCCCGCACAAGCGGAGGAACAUGUGGUUUAAUUCGAUGAUACGCGAGGAACCUUACCCGGGCUUAAAUUGCAGUGGAAUGAUGUGGAAACAUGUCAGUGAGCAAUCACCGCUGUGAAGGUGCUGCAUGGUUGUCGUCAGCUCGUGCCGUGAGGUGUCGGCUUAAGUGCCAUAACGAGCGCAACCCUUAUCUUCAGUUACUAACAGGUCAUGCUGAGGAUUCUGGAGAGACUGCCGUCGUAAGAUGUGAGGAAGGUGGGGAUGACGUCAAAUCAGCACGGCCCUUACGUCCGGGGCUACACACGUGUUACAAUGGGGGGUACAGAAGGCAGCUAGCGGGUGACCGUAUGCUAAUCCCAAAAUCCUCUCUCAGUUCGGAUCGAAGUCUGCAACCCGACUUCGUGAAGCUGGAUUCGCUAGUAAUCGCGCAUCAGCCACGGCGCGGUGAAUACGUUCCCGGGCCUUGUACACACCGCCCGUCAAGCCAUGGGAGCCGGGGGUACCUGAAGUACGUAACCGCAAGGAUCGUCCUAGGGUAAAACUGGUGACUGGGGCU